rnacentral:rRNA from 1 species
UACGUAGGGGGCUAGCGUUGUCCGGAUUCAUUGGGCGUAAAGGGUGCGUAGGCGGCGGGGCAAGUCUGAUGUGAAAUCCUGGGGCUCAACCCCAGAACUGCAUUGGAUACUGCCUUGCUAGAGUACUGGAGAGGGAACUGGAAUUUACGGUGUAGCAGUGAAAUGCGUAGAGAUCGUAAGGAAGGCCAGUGGCGAAGGCGAGUUCCUGGACAGUGACUGACGCUGAGGCACGAAGGCCAGGGGAGCAAACGGG